UGGGGAAUAUUGCACAAUGGGCGCAAGCCUGAUGCAGCCAUGCCGCGUGUGUGAAGAAGGCCUUCGGGUUGUAAAGCACUUUUGGCGGGGACGAUGAUGACGGUACCCGCAGAAUAAGCCCCGGCUAACUUCGUGCCAGCAGCCGCGGUAAGACGAAGGGGGCUAGCGUUGUUCGGAAUUACUGGGCGUAAAGCGAGUGUAGGCGGUUGCCGUAGUCAGGUGUGAAAGCCUUGAGCUCAACUCAAGAAAUGCACUUGAUACUGGGUGACUAGAGGACCGGAGAGGAUAGUGGAAUUCCCAGUGUAGUGGUGAAAUACGUAGAGAUUGGGAAGAACACCAGUGGCGAAGGCGGCUAUCUGGACGGUUACUGACGCUAAGACUCGAAAGCGUGGGGAGCAAACAGGAUUAGAUACCCUGGUAGUCCACGCCGUAAACGAUGGGUGCUAGACGUUGGCGAGCUUGCUCGUCAGUGUCGCAGCUAACGCGUUAAGCACCCCGCCUGGGGAGUACGGCCGC
rnacentral:rRNA from 1 species